GUCAUGCCACCCAUCUCUCAAAUUGGUUAUCUUCUUCUUCUUUUGAAUUGAAAGCCCCAAAACAUUUGCAUCCAUUUUGUUUCUAUACGAUUCUCGUAAACUUAUGUGGUCAUUUUGUCGAGCAGCUGGUGUGCAUGGAAAAUGUAAGAAGAUAAGACCAAGUAAAACGCAACAAAAUGGCCAAAGGUUUAGUGAUAUUCAUACCAGCGAUUAGGUGGACCAAACUCAGUGUGUCGUGAGGAGUUAACAGCGUCCAUCACAUUAGGCAUCACAAAAGUCUCAACUUUCAUUAUUUACGUCAUACUUUCGUUUCUCU